rnacentral:rRNA from 1 species
GAUGAACGCUGGCGGCGUGCCUAAUACAUGCAAGUCGAGCGAACGGACGAGAAGCUUGCUUCUCUGAUGUUAGCGGCGGACGGGUGAGUAACACGUGGAUAACCUACCUAUAAGACUGGGAUAACUUCGGGAAACCGGAGCUAAUACCGGAUAAUAUUUUGAACCGCAUGGUUCAAAAGUGAAAGACGGUCUUGCUGUCACUUAUAGAUGGAUCCGCGCUGCAUUAGCUAGUUGGUAAGGUAACGGCUUACCAAGGCAACGAUGCAUAGCCGACCUGAGAGGGUGAUCGGCCACACUGGGACUGAGACACGGUCCAGACUCCUACGGGAGGCAGCAGUAGGGAAUCUUCCGCAAUGGGCGAAAGCCUGACGGAGCAACGCCGCGUGAGUGAUGAAGGUCUUCGGAUCGUAAAACUCUGUUAUUAGGGAAGAACAUAUGUGUAAGUAACUGUGCACAUCUUGACGGUACCUAAUCAGAAAGCCACGGCUAACUACGUGCCAGCAGCCGCGGUAAUACGUAGGUGGCAAGCGUUAUCCGGAAUUAUUGGGCGUAAAGCGCGCGUAGGCGGUUUUUUAAGUCUGAUGUGAAAGCCCACGGCUCAACCGUGGAGGGUCAUUGGAAACUGGAAAACUUGAGUGCAGAAGAGGAAAGUGGAAUUCCAUGUGUAGCGGUGAAAUGCGCAGAGAUAUGGAGGAACACCAGUGGCGAAGGCGACUUUCUGGUCUGUAACUGACGCUGAUGUGCGAAAGCGUGGGGAUCAAACAGGAUUAGAUACCCUGGUAGUCCACGCCGUAAACGAUGAGUGCUAAGUGUUAGGGGGUUUCCGCCCCUUAGUGCUGCAGCUAACGCAUUAAGCACUCCGCCUGGGGAGUACGACCGCAAGGUUGAAACUCAAAGGAAUUGACGGGGACCCGCACAAGCGGUGGAGCAUGUGGUUUAAUUCGAAGCAACGCGAAGAACCUUACCAAAUCUUGACAUCCUUUGACAACUCUAGAGAUAGAGCCUUCCCCUUCGGGGGACAAAGUGACAGGUGGUGCAUGGUUGUCGUCAGCUCGUGUCGUGAGAUGUUGGGUUAAGUCCCGCAACGAGCGCAACCCUUAAGCUUAGUUGCCAUCAUUAAGUUGGGCACUCUAAGUUGACUGCCGGUGUCAAACCGGAGGAAGGUGGGGAUGACGUCAAAUCAUCAUGCCCCUUAUGAUUUGGGCUACACACGUGCUACAAUGGACAAUACAAAGGGCAGCGAAACCGCGAGGUCAAGCAAAUCCCAUAAAGUUGUUCUCAGUUCGGAUUGUAGUCUGCAACUCGACUACAUGAGGCCGGAAUCGCUAGUAAUCGUAGAUCAGCAUGCUACGGUGAAUACGUUCCCGGGUCU